UUCUUAUUGAAUGAUAAUUGUUACAUGUCAUGUUCUGAUUGGAUGUCAACUCUAUGAAAGAUGAAAUGCAUUGUUGUUUUCAUUAACCAAUCAGAACAUGACACGUGAUUGUUAUCAUCU
rfam:Glycine soja cultivar W05 scaffold4395_9, whole genome shotgun sequence.